rnacentral:lncRNA from 1 species
AUUAGGUAUUGCGGUUGAUCAUCAUGAUGCCGCUUGUGGAGGAAUCACAUCUUUAAACUUGAUAGGAGCUGAGCUCAGCUACCGCUGUGUCAGGUGCAAAAACAUUACAGCGUAUAAAUAUGAGCAAGGCAACAAUCCACAUAACUACUGCUAAUUAAUUGAUAUAUAAGACGCACAAUAUUAGAGAGAUGAUAACAUGAAUGUAUAUAUACCUUGAUGGCGACUGAGGCAUGGUGGUGGUGGUAGUAGUGACAUCGUGAGGUGAUGACAUUUUCUGUAAUUAAGAAUCAAAUCAAUGAAUAACAAAAGGCAUUUAAGAUGCCAUAUAAAUUUCUCAAUUCUUAAGUAAAUAAACUUUACCAAAGGAGCAUCAAGACAGGGCAUGGUGGAAGUAGUAGCAAGUGAUGACAUUUUCUGUAAUUAAGAAACAAAUCAAUGAAUAACAAUAAUUUAAGAAUCAAAAUCCAUGAAUAACAAAAAGCCGUAGAUGACAUAUAAAUUUCUCAAUACUAAAGUAAAUAACUUUCACCAUAGGAGCAUCCAGACAGGGCA